GACGAACGCUGGCGGCGUGCUUAACACAUGCCAGUCGAACGGUAAGGCUCCAGCUUGCUGGGGUACACGAGUGGCGAACGGGUGAGUAACACGUGGGUGACCUGCCCUGCACUUCGGGAUAAGCCUUGGAAACUGGGUCUAAUACCGGAUAGGACCAUGGUGUGGAUACUGUGGUGGAAAGUUUUUUCGGUGUGGGAUGGGCCCGCGGCCUAUCAGCUUGUUGGUGGGGUAAUGGCCUACCAAGGCGGCGACGGGUAGCCGGCCUGAGAGGGUGGACGGCCACAUUGGGACUGAGACACGGCCCAGACUCCUACGGGAGGCAGCAGUGGGGAAUAUUGCACAAUGGGCGGAAGCCUGAUGCAGCGACGCCGCGUGGGGGAUGACGGCCUUCGGGUUGUAAACUCCUUUCACCAUCGACGAAGGGUUUCUGACGGUAGAUGGAGAAGAAGCACCGGCUAACUACGUG
rnacentral:rRNA from 1 species